GACGAACGCUGGCGGCGUGCCUAAUACAUGCAAGUAGAACGCUGAAGGAGGAGCUUGCUUCUCUGGAUGAGUUGCGAACGGGUGAGUAACGCGUAGGUAACCUGCCUGGUGGCGGGGGAUAACUAUUGGAAACGAUAGCUAAUACCGCAUAAUAGCAGUUAUUGCAUGAUAACUGUUUGAAAGGUGCAAUUGCACCACUACCAGAUGGACCUGCGUUGUAUUAGCUAGUUGGUGGGGUAACGGCUCACCAAGGCGACGAUACAUAGCCGACCUGAGAGGGUGAUCGGCCACACUGGGACUGAGACACGGCCCAGACUCCUACGGGAGGCAGCAGUAGGGAAUCUUCGGCAAUGGACGGAAGUCUGACCGAGCAACGCCGCGUGAGUGAAGAAGGUUUUCGGAUCGUAAAGCUCUGUUGUAAGAGAAGAACGAGUGUGAGAGUGGAAAGUUCACACUGUGACGGUAUCUUACCAGAAAGGGACGGCUAACUACGUG
rnacentral:rRNA from 1 species